AAUAAAAUACUGCUGCUUGCUGGUCACUGAUACUAGAUCGUUCAGUGGCUACCAUUGGCCAAUCUCACCAACGGAAUAUAAUAAGAACUAAUGCAGGUUUAUAUCUAUAUGUAUUGUCUAUUCGGAACAAAGUUAGUACGCUUUUUAAACCGAUGUUGGAUUUUUCUCCAGAUACAGGCAACCCACUUAAUUUUGGAAGUAGUGCGCUGGAUUCGUCUAAAGAUAUGCUAAACAACCGAAGGAAAAUAAAAUAAUUUGUAAAACAAUUAA